rnacentral:rRNA from 1 species
GACGAACGCUGGCGGCGUGCUUAACACAUGCAAGUCGAACGGAAAGGCCCUGCUUUUGUGGGGUGCUCGAGUGGCGAACGGGUGAGUAACACGUGAGUAACCUGCCCUUGACUUUGGGAUAACUUCAGGAAACUGGGGCUAAUACCGGAUAGGAGCUCCUGCUGCAUGGUGGGGGUUGGAAAGUUUCGGCGGUUGGGGAUGGACUCGCGGCUUAUCAGCUUGUUGGUGGGGUAGUGGCUUACCAAGGCUUUGACGGGUAGCCGGCCUGAGAGGGUGACCGGCCACAUUGGGACUGAGAUACGGCCCAGACUCCUACGGGAGGCAGCAGUGGGGAAUAUUGCACAAUGGGCGGAAGCCUGAUGCAGCAACGCCGCGUGCGGGAUGACGGCCUUCGAGUUGUAAACCGCUUUCGCCUGUGACGAAGCGUGAGUGACGGUAAUGGGUAAAGAAGCACCGGCUAACUACGUG